rnacentral:rRNA from 1 species
GACGAACGCUGGCGGCGUGCCUAACACAUGCAAGUCGAACGGAAAGGCCCUGCUUUUGUGGGUUGCUCGAGUGGCGAACGGGUGAGUAACACGUGAGUAACCUGCCCUUGACUUUGGGAUAACUUCAGGAAACUGGGGCUAAUACCGGAUAGGAGCUCCUGCUGCAUGGUGGGGGUUGGAAAGUUUCGGCGGUUGGGGAUGGACUCGCGGCUUAUCAGCUUAUUGGUGGGGUAGUGGCUUACCAAGGCUUUGACGGGUAGCCGGCCUGAGAGGGUGACCGGCCACAUUGGGACUGAGAUACGGCCCAGACGCCUACGGGAGGCAGAAGUGGGGAGUAUUGCGCAAUGGGCGGAAGCCUGUUGCAGCAGCGCCGCGUGCGGGAUGACGGCCUUCGGGUUAUAAACCGCUUUCGCCUGUGACGAAGCGUGAGUGACGGUAAUGGGUAAAGAAGCACCGGCUAACUACGUG